rnacentral:rRNA from 1 species
UACAGAGACUGCAAGCGUUGUUCGGAUUCACUGGGCGUAAAGGGUGCGCAGGUGGGUUGGCAAGUUUGAUGUGAAAGCCCCGGGCUUAACCCGGGAAUGGCAUUGAAUACUGCUGAUCUGGAGGAUCGGAGGGGGGACUGGAAUUCUUGGUGUAGCAGUGAAAUGCGUAGAUAUCAAGAGGAACACCAGUGGCGAAGGCGAGUCCCUGGACGAUACCUGACACUGAGGCACGAAAGCCAAGGGAGCAAACAGG